rnacentral:rRNA from 1 species
UACGGGGGGGGCAAGCGUUGUUCGGAAUUACUGGGCGUAAAGGGUUCGUAGGUGGCCUGCUAAGUCAGACGUGAAAUCCCUCAGCUUAACUGGGGAACUGCGUCCGAUACUGGAUGGCUUGAGUUUGGGAGAGGGAUGCGGAAUUCCAGGUGUAGCGGUGAAAUGCGUAGAUAUCUGGAGGAACACCGGUGGCGAAGGCGGCAUCCUGGACCAACACUGACACUGAGGAGCGAAAGCCAGGGGAGCAAACGGG